rnacentral:snoRNA from 1 species
UAUUUUUAAGGAGGCUCUACACCCAACAUGGGGCUCAGUGGAUACAACCCUGAGAUCAAGAGUCACAUGCUCUACCAACUGAGAGGUG